UUUGUACUCCCUCUGUCCGAAAAUACUUGUCAUCAAAAUGGAUAAAAAAAGAUGUAUCUAGAACUAAAAUACAUCUAGAUACAUUCUCUUUUAUCCAUUUUGAUGACAAGUAUUUCCGGACGGAGGGAGUAGGAC
rnacentral:pre_miRNA from 1 species